GGAUGUGAGGGCGCGCUGGUUGCAACAUCUGUCACCCCAUUGAUCUCCAGGGUUGAUUGGGCUGAUCUGGCUAGCUAGUCCUCCCUUACUGCUCCACGUGCGUCCCUCCCCAAGCUGCAUGCUGGGUCGAAGAGGACGACCAUCCCAGAUAGAGGAGGACUGUUCUUCAGUCAAGGGUGCACGAGUAGCUGCGCUCCCCUGCUAGAACCUCCAAACAAACUCUCAAUAAACUGUGAGGUUUUUAAGAUGUGUGUCUGUAUGGAAACAGUACUUAGGAAGAAUUAUUGAGGGUAGAUGUAAGUUAGAUUAAGUUGGAAUAAUCAUGAUUAAAUC
rnacentral:snRNA from 1 species